UACGAAGGGUGCAAGCGUUACUCGGAAUCACUGGGCGUAAAGCGUGCGUAGGCGGUUCGUUAAGUCUGCUGUGAAAGCCCUGGGCUCAACCUGGGAACUGCAGUGGAUACUGGCGGACUAGAGUGUGAUAGAGGAUGGUGGAAUUCCCGGUGUAGCGGUGAAAUGCGUAGAGAUCGGGAGGAACACCAGUGGCGAAGGCGGCCAUCUGGAUCAACACUGACGCUGAGGCACGAAAGUGUGGGGAUCAAACAGG
rnacentral:rRNA from 1 species